GAUGAACGCUGGCGGCGUGCCUAAUACAUGCAAGUAGAACGCUGAAGGAAGGAGCUUGCUCUUUCCGGAUGAGUUGCGAACGGGUGAGUAACGCGUAGGUAACCUGCCUGGUAGCGGGGGAUAACUAUUGGAAACGAUAGCUAAUACCGCAUAACAGUAGAUGUUGCAUGACAACUAUUUGAAAGGGGCAAUUGCUCCACUACCAGAUGGACCUGCGUUGUAUUAGCUAGUUGGUGAGGUAACGGCUCACCAAGGCGACGAUACAUAGCCGACCUGAGAGGGUGAUCGGCCACACUGGGACUGGGACACGGCCCAAACUCCUACGGGAGGCAGCAGUAGGGAAUCUUCGGCAAUGGACGGAAGUCUGACCGAGCAACGCCGCGUGAGUGAAGAAGGUUUUCGGAUCGUAAAGCUCUGUUGUAAGAGAAGAACGAGUGUGAGAGUGGAAAGUUCACACUGUGACGGUAUCUUACCAGAAAGGGACGGCUAACUACGUG
rnacentral:rRNA from 1 species